GGGGUUCCGCGGGCCCUCGCGGGGGCAGCAUUAGGGUUAGGAUCUUCCUUUAAGCAGAGACAAAAGAACAUGCUCCCAGGCCGAUGCCUGAGGUGGCUCCAGCUAAAUUGCCAACUCUUUCCAGAGUCACUACUACAUACCAAGAGCGCUGGGGUGAACAGAACAUGGUCCUUGCCCAGGACUUUGGCAAGGAAAAACGCGUUGUUCAUGCAAAAGAGCUCAGAAAAUGCUCUGAACGCCUGGACACAUCUAUGCCUGCUUGCCUCCCACUUUCGGACCCAGGAUGCUCCCCUCAGGUUCACCCUUUCGUGCUGUGUUAGGAACCACCAGCAUCUGGGAGGCGGAAUGGCUCAUGCGGCAGUAAAGAGCCCUGCGUCUGCCGGCAGCCACAUCCACUAAAAGGCAUCUAUUACACUUCGACUAUGGGCCAGAUGCCGUGCUGGUUGCUGGGGAUGCAAAGAGAAAUAAGGCACGAGUCUUGCCCUCCAGGAAUUUGCAGUCUUGUGAGCAAGGAGUAAUAAAAAGACUCGCUUCCAUUUAUUGAGCACCUGCUGUGCCGCAGACUAUGUGGGGCUUACACACGUC
rnacentral:lncRNA from 1 species